CUAGAGCAAAGGAUAGACAGCACCCGUGGAGCUCGCUCCCGGGGCUACCCUACUCCGGUAGGGUUUAGAGUCGUUGAGCCUCUCGAAGAAGCUCGGUCCUGAACUCCACCCUUGAAUAAACUACCUUUGUUGCUUUGGCGGGCCGCCUCGUGCCAGCGGCUUCGGCUGUUGAGUGCCCGCCAGAGGACCACAACUCUUGUUUUUAGUGAUGUCUGAGUACUAUAUAAUAGUUA
rnacentral:misc_RNA from 1 species